AAGUCGUAACAAGGUUUCCGUAGGUGAACCUGCGGAAGGAUCAUUAACACGUUUUUUUAAACCAAAACGUACUAAAACUCUGUGAACGAGAUUUCCGAAUAUUAAUCUCACAACUAAUAAUAUUAUUAUUUAAUAUUAAUAUUUCGGUAUUAAUAUUAUUAAUAAUAUUAUUAGGAUUAUAUUUGGGUAACAUAAAUCUCACUAUUUUUAUUCCAAUAUCACCAACCCCUAAAACUACUUAAUACUAUAUGGUGAAAUACCCAUAUAUGUAUUCUGUAUGUUUGUAACUAAACUUUUUCUUCAUUUCAUGCCUAAAAAACAUGAAAGCAAAAGGAUAGUAUUAUCUUCGGAUAUACUUUAUCUUUUUAUGAACCAAAACUGUUGUACAACUCUUAGCAACGGAUAUCUUGGUUCCC
rnacentral:misc_RNA from 1 species